rnacentral:rRNA from 1 species
UCCUACGGGACGCAGCAGUAGGGAAUCUUGGACAAUGGGGGAAACCCUGAUCCAGCCAUGCCGCGUGAGUGAUGAAGGCCUUCGGGUUGUAAAACUCUUUCGGCGGGGACGAUAAUGACGGUACCCGCAGAAGAAGCUCCGGCUAACUUCGUGCCAGCAGCCGCGGUAAUACGAAGGGGGCUAGCGUUGUUCGGAAUUACUGGGCGUAAAGCGCGCGCAGGCGGCCUUUCAAGUCAGGGGUGAAAGCCCGGAGCUCAACUCCGGAAUUGCCUUUGAAACUGUCAGGCUCGAGUACGGGAGAGGUGAGUGGAAUUCCCAGUGUAGAGGUGAAAUUCGUAGAUAUUGGGAAGAACACCGGUGGCGAAGGCGGCUCACUGGCCCGUUUCUGACGCUCAGGCGCGACAGCGUGGGGAUCAAACAGGAUUAGAUACCCUUGUAGUCCG